rnacentral:rRNA from 1 species
CCUACGGGAGGCAGCAGUGAGGAAUAUUGGUCAAUGGACGCAAGUCUGAACCAGCCAUGCCGCGUGCAGGAUGACGGCUCUAUGAGUUGUAAACUGCUUUUGUACGAGGGUAAACCCCGAUACGUGUAUCGGGUUGAAAGUAUCGUACGAAUAAGGAUCGGCUAACUCCGUGCCAGCAGCCGCGGUAAUACGGAGGAUUCGAGCGUUAUCCGGAUUUAUUGGGUUUAAGGGGUGCGUAGGCGGUUUGAUAAGUUAGAGGUGAAAUGUCGGGGCUCAACCCCGGAACUGCCUCUAAUACUGUCGGACUAGAGAUUAGUUGCGGUAGGCGGAAUGUAUGGUGUAGCGGUGAAAUGCUUAGAGAUCAUACAGAACACCGAUUGCGAAGGCAGCUUACCAAACUAUAUCUGACGUUGAGGCACGAAAGCGUGGGUAGCAAACAGGAUUAGAUACCCCUGUAGUC